UCUUACAGGAUAUUCUGAUCAGGACGCCUUCAGAAAUGCGAAGCUGUGCUUCCAUUCUGACAGUUACCUCAUACUCCAAAAUUGUCGAGUGGAAGUAAACCAAGACCACUUUCUCGCACCAGUCAGCUGCCGUUUUUUGAAAUUUAAAGGUCCUGAAUCACAGACAUCCACUUUGACAACUAUUGUUGAAAAGUUCAAGACCAUACAACAGAUUUUAUGUCUAUUGCAAGAUAACAUGCAAAGCAGUGCAGCCUGGGAAACUAAGGGCACGUUGUAGCACAUGUCAGCAAGGAACAUUGAUUUUAACUGGGAAGGCCAUUUGGAUUCAGUUAUGCUGAUAGUUUUGAGAAGUCUUUUCCUUAGAGAAGAGAAGGCUGAGAGGAAAUUUGGUCGAGAUUUUCAAAAACAUGAAGAGUUCGACAGAGAUAAUAUGGCAAAACUUCUCACAUUGGAUAAAGAAUGAAAAGUCACAGCUUUAAGGUUGUUGACAAAAGAAGCAAUGGAGACCUGAGGAGAAAUUGUCAACAGUAAUGUUUAAGAUCUGCAAUGCAGUAUAUGAGUCUGGUAGAAGCAGGUUUAAUCCAUCCAUUCAAGUGGAAAUUAGAUUAUUAUCUGAAAAAGAAGAACAUGCAAGGUUUCUUGGAAGAGAUGGGGGAAUGGUACCAGGUGUGUGACAAUGCUCAGGUUAAACACACCACAAGUUGUCUCCCUCUGAGAACAAUCCUUUGGUCCUCAGGGACUAUGGUGACUUAGUUCACCUUUACUGCUCAUUUGGAGACACAGUGCAGAUGUGUGUUCUGUAACAAUUGUAUAAUUCUGCUAUUUAUGAACUGUUCCCUCCGUAAAACGUGCUUCUGAUGCUUUAAAGAAUGAUGAAGAUACAUAAUCAGAUAAUUUCAACAAAUGAGAUUCCCAGCUCCCCAAUGAAGUCAGAGACAAUGGAGAAUUGAUUGUUGUAUUCUCUGGUAGUA